AAAAGUUUGGGAACCACUGGUCUACAGGGCUAAAAAGAGUGUGGGAUGUUUUGUUUUCUUCUAACAGGCAUUUGUUGACAGGUCUAGGCAACAAGGCAUAG